CCUACGGGCGACAGCAGUGGGGAAUAUUGGACAAUGGGGGGAACCCUGAUCCAGCGACGCCGCGUGAGUGAAGAAGUAUUUCGGUAUGUAAAGCUCUAUCAGCAGGGAAGAAAGAAAUGACGGUACCUGACUAAGAAGCCCCGGCUAACUACGUGCCAGCAGCCGCGGUAAUACGUAGGGGGCAAGCGUUAUCCGGAUUUACGGGGUGUAAAGGGAGCGUAGACGGUUACGCAAGUCUGGAGUGAAAGGCGGGGGCCCAACCCCCGGACUGCGUUGGAAACUGUAUAACUGGAGUGCAGGAGAGGUAAGUGGAAGGCGUAGUGUAGCGGUGAAAUGCGUAGAUAUUAGGAGGAACACCAGUGGCGAAGGCGGCUUACUGGACUGUAACUGACGUUGAGGCUCGAAAGCGUGGGGAGCAAACAGGAUUAGAUACCCUGGUAGUC
rnacentral:rRNA from 1 species